rnacentral:ribozyme from 13 species
GACAACAGAAAAAGAAGAGAAAACAAGAAGACCACCAUUUUCUUUCUGUCUUCUUUCUUUUCUGUUUUCUGUUUCUUUUUUCGAUUUUCUUUUUAUGUUUGACUGAAAUAAA